GAUGAACGCUAGCUACAGGCUUAACACAUGCAAGUCGAGGGACCGGCGCACGGGUGAGUAACACGUAUCCAACCUGCCCUUUACUCGGGGAUAGCCUUUCGAAAGAAAGAUUAAUACCCGAUAUAAAGGAUGGGGAUGCGUUCCAUUAGGUUGUUGGUGAGGUAACGGCCCACCAAGCCUUCGAUGGAUAGGGGUGCGGAGAGGAAGGUCCCCCACAUUGGAACUGAGACACGGUCCAAACUCCUACGGGAGGCAGCAGUGAGGAAGAUUGGGCAAGGGGCGUUAGCCUGAACCAGCCAAGUAGCGUGAAGAAGGAAGGCUUAUGGGUCGUAAAUUUGUGUUAUAUAAGAAUAGGUAUUAUAUGAAUAAGGAUCGGCUAACUCCGUGCCAGCCGCCGCGGUAAUAC
rnacentral:rRNA from 1 species